AGGGUUUGAUCAUGGCUCAGAACGAACGCUGGCGGCAUGCCUUAUACAUGCAAGUCGAACGAGAAAGUCACUUCGGUGGCGAGUACAGUGGCGCACGGGUGAGUAACGCGUAGAUGAUCUACCCUUCAGUCUGGGACAACUCUUGGAAACGGGAGCUAAUACCGGAUAAAACCUUCGGGUUGAAAGAUUUAUCGCUGAGGGAUGAGUCUGCGUACCAUUAGCUUGUUGGUGGGGUAACGGCCUACCAAGGCGACGAUGGUUAGCGGGUCUGAGAGGACGAUCCGCCACACUGGAACUGAGACACGGUCCAGACUCCUACGGGAGGCAGCAGUAGGGAAUAUUGCGCAAUGGGGGCAACCCUGACGCAGCAAUGCCGCGUGAGUGAAGAAGGCCUUCGGGUCGUAAAGCUCUUUUAUGGGGGAAGAUGAUGACGGUACCCCAUGAAUAAGCACCGGCUAACUACGUGCCAGCAGCCGCGGUAAUA
rnacentral:rRNA from 1 species